GAGAGUUUGAUCCUGGCUCAGGAUGAACGCUAGCGACAGGCCUAACACAUGCAAGUCGAGGGGCAGCAUUUCUAGCUUGCUAGAAGAUGGCGACCGGCGCACGGGUGAGUAACGCGUAUGCAACCUACCUUAUACUGGGGGAUAGCCCAAAGAAAUUUGGAUUAAUACCGCAUAACAUAUUUGAAUCGCAUGGUUUAAAUAUUAAAACUCCGGUGGUAUAAGAUGGGCAUGCGUAGCAUUAGUUUGUUGGUGAGGUAACGGCUCACCAAGACUAUGAUGCUUAGGGGGUCUGAGAGGAUAGUCCCCCACACUGGUACUGAGACACGGACCAGACUCCUACGGGAGGCAGCAGUGAGGAAUAUUGGUCAAUGGACGCAAGUCUGAACCAGCCAUGUCGCGUGCAGGAUGACGGCCCUAUGGGUUGUAAACUGCUUUUUUUACAGGAAUAAUUGUCGCUACGUGUAGAGAUUUGAAUGUACUGUAUGAAUAAGGAUCGGCUAACUCCGUGCCAGCAGCCGCGGUAAUACGGAGGAUUCGAGCGUUAUCCGGAUUUAUUGGGUUUAAAGGGUCCGUAGGCGGUUCUUUAAGUCAGUGGUGAAAUCCCAGAGCUCAACUCUGGAACUGCCAUUGAAACUGAAGAACUUGAAUAUGGUUGAGGUAGGCGGAAUACGUUAUGUAGCGGUGAAAUGCAUAGAUAUAACGUAGAACACCAAUUGCGAAGGCAGCUUACUAAACCAUUAUUGACGCUGAUGGACGAAAGCGUGGGGAGCGAACAGGAUUAGAUACCCUGGUAGUCCACGCCGUAAACGAUGUUCACUCGCUGUAUGCAAUACACCGUAUGCGGCCAAGCGAAAGUAUUAAGUGAACCACCUGGGGAGUACGUCGGCAACGGUGAAACUCAAAGGAAUUGACGGGGGCCCGCACAAGCGGAGGAACAUGUGGUUUAAUUCGAUGAUACGCGAGGAACCUUACCUGGGCUUAAAUGUAGAUUGACGUACAAAGAGAUUUGAUUUUCUUGGGACGAAUUACAAGGUGCUGCAUGGUUGUCGUCAGCUCGUGCCGUGAGGUGUCGGGUUAAGUCCCAUAACGAGCGCAACCCCUAUCACUAGUUGCCAGCGAGUAAUGUCGGGAACUCUAGUGAAACUGCCGGUGUAAACCGUGAGGAAGGUGGGGAUGACGUCAAAUCAGCACGGCCCUUAUGUCCAGGGCUACACACGUGUUACAAUGGCCAGUACAAAGGGCAGCUACUUGGUGACAAGAUGCUAAUCUCUAAAGCUGGUCUCAGUUCGGAUAGAAGUCUGCAAUUCGACUUCUUGAAGUUGGAUUCGCUAGUAAUCGCAUAUCAGCUACGAUGCGGUGAAUACGUUCCCGGGCCUUGUACACACCGCCCGUCAAACAAUGGAAGCUGGGGGUACCUGAAGUCUGUAACCGCAAGGAGCGGCCUAGGGUAAAACUGGUAACUAGGGUUAAGUCGUAACAAGGUAGCCGUAG
rnacentral:rRNA from 1 species